UUGAACGCUGGCGGCAUGCCUAACACAUGCAAGUCGAGCGGUAGAGAGGUGCUUGCAUCUCUUGAGAGCGGCGGACGGGUGAGUAAUGCCUAGGAAUCUGCCUAGUGGUGGGGGAUAACGUCCGGAAACGGACGCUAAUACCGCAUACGUCCUACGGGAGAAAGCGGGGGAUCUUCGGACCUCGCGCCAUUAGAUGAGCCUAGGUCGGAUUAGCUAGUUGGUGAGGUAAUGGCUCACCAAGGCGACGAUCCGUAACUGGUCUGAGAGGAUGAUCAGUCACACUGGAACUGAGACACGGUCCAGACUCCUACGGGAGGCAGCAGUGGGGAAUAUUGGACAAUGGGCGAAAGCCUGAUCCAGCCAUGCCGCGUGUGUGAAGAAGGUCUUCGGAUUGUAAAGCACUUUAAGUUGGGAGGAAGGGUAGUAACCUAAUACGUUGCUACUUUGACGUUACCGACAGAAUAAGCACCGGCUAACUUCGUG
rnacentral:rRNA from 1 species